UGGGGAAUUUUGCACAAUGGGGGAAACCCUGAUGCAGCGACGCCGCGUGAUUUAGAAGGCCUUCGGGUUGUAAAAAUCUUUUCUAUGGGAAGAAAAUGACAGUACCAUAGGAAUAAGGACCGGCUAAUUACGUGCCAGCAGCCGCGGUAAUACGUAAGGUCCGAGCGUUGUCCGGAAUCAUUGGGCGUAAAGGGUACGUAGGCGGGUAAGCAAGUUAGAAGUGAAAUCCUAUAGCUCAACUAUAGUAAGCUUUUAAAACUGCUCAUCUUGAGGUAUGGAAGGGAAAGUGGAAUUCCUAGUGUAGCGGUGAAAUGCGCAGAUAUUAGGAGGAAUACCGGUGGCGAAGGCGACUUUCUGGCCAUAACCUGACGCUGAGGUACGAAAGCGUGGGUAGCAAAGAGG
rnacentral:rRNA from 1 species